rnacentral:tRNA from 1 species
GAGGGUAUAGCUUAGUGGUAGAGUGCAUGCCUAGCAUGCACAAGGUCCUGGGUUCAAUCUCCAGUACCUCUG